rnacentral:misc_RNA from 1 species
AACGCACAUUGCGCCCGCCAGCACUCUGGCGGGCAUGCCUGUCCGAGCGUCAUUUCAACCCUCGAGCACCGCUCGGCGUUGGGGGAGCGGCCCGCGCGCCGCCCCCCGAAAUGCAGUGGCGACCCCGCCGCGUCCUCCCCUGCGCAGUAGCUCUCCAGAGAACCUCGCAUCGGCGGCGCGGCGGCGGUCACGCCGUGAAACACCCCCAAGAGUUGACCUCGGAUCAGGUAGGGAUACCCGCUGAACUUAA